CCCAACACUACUUACUAAAUCCCUUUCCUGCUCCAACAGCUGGAAUGAACACUAGCGAGUGAGCACCCCACCCCGACUGAUGCGCCACUAAAACUUCCCACUUUAUGUGCUUAUCCUCUCCGUGUUUGAACAGCUGGUGGCCCUGCAUGGCCACCCCAAGUGUCUGAUGUGAAAGAGCUUCUCCUUGUCACCUCCCCGCAGCAGCUGACAGACUAACAGAGCAGAAAACAUUUCUUUUUGCUUCAAAAUAUGAAAAUUGGAUUGUAAAUCAAUGGAGAGCCCAUCUGCGAACAUGUUCUCACAAAUUCUAAAUGUUACAAGCUGGAGGACACCACGUCCCUGGAGAUGACUCAGUGUCGAUAUUGGAAACUAGUAAGACAAGAUGGCUUGUGUCUAAGAAAGUUCAGGCGGAGCUAGCCGCGAGAGUGCAGGGUUCUGGAUGAUGCUGGAAUUUCUAUUCGAGAACACGUGCAUCGCUCUUCCUGCUCCAGAGAGGGGAGGCGCUGGAGGAAUGUGGCCCGAGGAGGGCGCUGUGUGUCAUCUGCUCCCACCUGACACUCCUCUCCUGGACCUGAGUGUCUGUGCUUGGAAAACUGAGCCUUCGUCUUUGAAUUUUCAAAGUAACAGACACCCUCCAGGUCCUAGUCCGCAUGGUCUGCUCUGAACCAUGGUAUAUGGAGUCGACUCAGCAUACGCCAGGUGCACUGCCCAG
rnacentral:lncRNA from 1 species